rnacentral:tRNA from 1 species
GGAGCUAUAGCUCAGUUGGUUCAGAGCGCUACCUUGACAGGGUAGAGGUCGUUGGUUCGAGCCCAACUAGCUUCA